rnacentral:sRNA from 1 species
GCUCUGCGUCCUUGUCCUGCUCUGCGUGGCGAGCCUCGUGGAUGUCACGGAAGGGCAGCGAGGCGGAGGCGGAAGUGGAGGACUUGCAGGCGCCGCAGGCGAGGACAGCAUACCAUUCGGGGCCGGAGUCGGCCCGCGCGGCCUCAGCAGCGGUACGUGGGCCGCAUGGUCCGCCUCCUCGCUGCUCGCCGCGGUCGCCUUGCUCCUGUAGCGCGGCGCCUAUAUGGUAAAGCGCGCUGUUGUUUGCUUUUACAUGCUUUUUUGUACUACGUGAUAUGUGUGAUGUGUGCUUGGGGAGAGAGGGUCCUGUGCAGCAUGCACUACUGAACCCAUGUGCAGUACUGGAUUUGGAUUGGUGUUUGGGGUGGCAACUAGUUUGGGCGCCUCGCAGAUAUAUUACUGUUCUGUCUUUGAUCGUGAGAUAAAUGGGUAAAAGUAUGUUGUAUCCAAUCAAGAAUACGACUAUUGUGAGUUGUGAAAGUACUAUAUGUAAAAGUGUGAUGUAUCUUUACCUAUUAUAAAAUCUUUAAGAUGUUUCUGCC